GAUGAACGCUGGCGGCGUGCUUAACACAUGCAAGUCGAACGGUGAAGGCGGAGCUUGCUCUGCUGGAUCAGUGGCGAACGGGUGAGUAACACGUGAGCAAUCUGCCCCUGACUCUGGGAUAAGCGCUGGAAACGGCGUCUAAUACUGGAUACGAGCUGCGAAGGAAUCUUCAGCAGCUGGAAAGAAUUUCGGUCAGGGAUGAGCUCGCGGCCUAUCAGCUUGUUGGUGAGGUAAUGGCUCACCAAGGCGUCGACGGGUAGCCGGCCUGAGAGGGUGACCGGCCACACUGGGACUGAGACACGGCCCAGACUCCUACGGGAGGCAGCAGUGGGGAAUAUUGCACAAUGGGCGAAAGCCUGAUGCAGCAACGCCGCGUGAGGGACGACGGCCUUCGGGUUGUAAACCUCUUUUAGCAGGGAAGAAGCGAAAGUGACGGUACCUGCAGAAAAAGCGCCGGCUAACUACGUG
rnacentral:rRNA from 1 species